UAUUUCUCUGUAAUAAACUCGUAGUUAGAUGUUUGUUCUUUUUGGUAUACUUACAGUCAAUAGUGAAUAUAGUUAUUCAAAAAAAUUGUAUAUGAAUAUGGAAUUUAAAAAUGGGAUAGCACUCUUGGCAGUGCAAUUCUGAUAGAUGAUCACCUUCUCUGUGUCGCCUUGCUCAAGUCCCUGCACCCAGAUUGGUCCCCAGCUGCUAUCAAGUCUGCAAUUAUGACUACAGUGGGGUUAAAAGAUCCUCAUUCUGGCUUACCAAUUAUCGCUGAGGGAAUGCCAUUUUGGGUUGCUGAUCCAUUUGAUUUCGGUAGUGGACUUGUGAAUGCACAUGCUGCAAAUAAUUCGGGCCUCAUCUAUGAUAUGGGAACCUUUGACUACAUUCUUUAUUUGCUCUCGAUGGGCUACAAGAGUAGCCACAUCAGCAACAUGAUUGACGAAGGAGCUGCAUCUUUCCCAAUCAAGAGGCCUUCGAUUCUUGACGUCAAUCUUUCUUCUUUAAUCGUACCAAGUCUCAAAGAUACUGUCAAUGUUAGAAGAACCGUCACCAACAUUGGACCAGAGAACUCCAAAUAUGAAGCCAUCAUUGAGCCUCCACCAGGCAUUACCAUAAAAGUAAAGCCUGACACUUUGAUAUUCAACUCCGACACCGAGCAAAUCUCUUUCACUCUCACCAUUUCAGCCACUCACGAAUACAACACAACGUUUGAGUUCGGGAGCCUUACUUAGACUGACGGGGUGCACCAAGCUUUAAUACCAUGGCGCUGAAGCAACAUUUUGGAAAAAAAACUUUUGGAACUUGAAGAGGAAAGAAGAGCGGUGCAGCAAGUGCGAGAUAGAUUAUUAGCGAAGGUUGAAAACCGUGCAGCCAAUACCGAUGGACAAGCAAUAAAAUUGCAAUACACACAUUCCCCGAAACUAAAGUCCCUUGAUGCACAGGAAUUUGCUGAGGCAUAUAAGUCGUUCCAUGUUGGAGAGAAACUCGCCAAUGAGCUUGCAACUCCAUGUGACAAGAGCAAAAGCCACCCCGCUGCUUUGUCUACUAAGAAGAAUUGUAUAGGAAUGAAACAAAUGUUUAAGGUCUGCGCUGAAUGAGAAUUCCUACUAAUGAAGAGGAGUGCAUUUGUAUACAUAUUAAAGAUGUUUCAGAUUGUUCAAACAGUUCUUCCUUCUCGUACUAGUACACCAGAUAGCAUCGGGAUUGUACAGAUUCAUUGGAGAUGGGAGUCGCUAGCCUACAAUUUGGACCAUUUGCACAGGUUUUACAAUUUGUAUUUUCUGGAUUUAUACUCUCUAGAGGUAUACUUUAAGAUGUUUGCACAAAUUCAUUUUCUUGUUCAAUCAGACAUACGCUUAUUUACUAUUGUACAAGUUGCGACAGAGGAUGUGAAGAAAUGGUGGAUUUGGGGUUAUUUGAUCUCACCAUUGAUGCAUUCUGAGAAUUCAAUUCUUGUGAAUGAAUUUCAUGGGAAGAAGUGAAAACUUGUAAUCUUUUUAUCCCAAACCACAAGCAAAUAGCUAAUUUUCUCAUAUAUAUCAUAUCCACUUUUAAUUAAAACAGUUCACGCCAAAUGGAAAUGAGACACUAAUUGGACAUUCAGUAGUAAGAGCUCGCAGAUUCUUUCCAGAUGCAUAUUGGUAUUGGAUAGGUGUUGUGGAACUUAUUGGAUUCAUAAUAAUCUUCAACAUCUGCUACAAUAUUGGACUCGUUUACCUGAAUCGUAAUAAAAUACCAAAGUUCCACUGAAGAUAGAUUGGUACUUCUAAAGGGUGUGAGUGGAGAUUUCCGGCCAGUUGUUCUCAUAACUUAGAUAGGUGUUAUUGGUGCUGGUAAAACAACAUUGAUGGAUGUCUUGACUGGAAGGAAAACAGGAGCAUAUGUUAAUGGUGAUAUCAAGAUUUCUGGAUAUCCUAAGAAGCAAGAAACCUUCGUGGAGAAAAUGAAGAUGCGAAUGAGGAGAACAUUGAAGAACGUCAAGAUUUUAGAUGGUUUUUUUAACUUGUUCUAGGACAUUUUUGAAAUCGACAACACAAUGAAACUUAUGUUGUAAUUUACUAUUUUCUAGUUGUUAUAUGGAUAUUAAUUACUAUGGCUAGCUUAUAUUUUGGAUAUACAAUUUUAAUGAUGAACAUUGAUAACUAUUUUGUAAUUCUUAAUAUAAACUUUUAUCAUGUUUGA